rnacentral:lncRNA from 1 species
GACUCCUACGGGAGCCGGACUCCGUCCACGACCCCAACUGCAGGUAGACUUCGUCCGGACUCCUACGGGAGCCGGACUCCGUCGACGACUUCAACUGCAAGUAGACUCCACCCGGACUCCUACGGGAGCCGGGCUCCGUCCUAAACAUCAACUGCCGGUAAGCCUUGUCCGGACUCCUACGGGAGCCGAACUUCGCCUUUGACUUCAAUUGCAGGAAGACUCCGCCCGGACUCCUAUGGGAGCCGGGCUCCGUCCUCAACAUCAACUGCCGGUAAGCCUUGUCCAGACUCCUACGGGAGCCAGACUUCGCCUUUGACUUCAACUGCAGGAAGACUCCGCCCGGACUCCUACGGGAGCCGGACUUCGUCCUCGACUCCAACGGCUGCAGACAGACUUCGUCCGGACUCCUACGGGAGUCGGACUCCAUCCUCGACUCCAAUGGCUGCAGACAGACUUCGUCCGGACUCCUACGGGAGCCGGACUCCAUCCUCGACUCCAACAGCUGCAGAUAGACUUCGUCCGGACUCCUACGGGAGUCGGACUCCGUCCACGACCCCAACUGCAGGUAGACUUCGUCCGGACUCCUACGGAAGCUAGACUCCGUCUUCUAUUCCGACUGCGGGAAGACCUCGCCCAAACUCCUACGGGUAUGAAAUCUCGCUACCGACUCUAACCGAACUCUGGCCGACCAGUCUGGACCCCCUGGCAGGCCACGGUAACGGACAACACUGCUCCACUCCCUGCGGCGAACCCUACGCAGCUCCAUUACUCCCUGACAGGCCGUAUUAACGGCCACGAUUCUGCUCC